UACGUAGGGUGCAAGCGUUAAUCGGAAUUACUGGGCGUAAAGCGUGCGCAGGCGGCUAUGCAAGACAGAUGUGAAAUCCCCGGGCUCAACCUGGGAACUGCAUUUGUGACUGCAUAGCUAGAGUACGGUAGAGGGGGAUGGAAUUCCGCGUGUAGCAGUGAAAUGCGUAGAUAUGCGGGAGGAACAGCCGAUGGCGAAGGCAGCUCGCUGGGACG
rnacentral:rRNA from 1 species